AGCCUUUAGCCAAACAAGUAUUAAAGGUGUCGCCUGCCCAGUGAAGUAUCUAACGGGCGUGGUAUCCUAACCGUGCAAAGGUAGCAUAAUCAUUUGUCUCCUAAUUAGGGACUAGCAUGAACGGCUAAAUGAGGACAUAACUGUCUCCUAAAGUAAGUCAAUGAACCUGAUCCCUCAGUCCAAAAGCUGAGAUAGGACCAUAAGACGAGAAGACCCUGUGGAGCUUCAAACUAUAGUGCUACUUCACCACAUAAACCAAAUAAAUACAACCUAGCACUCGUUUUUAGUUGGGGCGACUACGGAGCAAAAUAAAACCUCCAAGACGAGGAACCCCACCCCUCCACGGCCCACUAGCCAAGUAUAAGCCUGACCCAGCCAUGCUGAUCAACGAACCAAGUUACCCCAGGGAUAACAGCGCCAUCCUCUUAAAGAGCCCCUAUCGCCAAGAGGGUUUACGACCUCGAUGUUGGAUCAGGACCCCCCAGUGGCGCAGCCGCUACUAAAGGUUCGUUUGUUCAACGACCAAUGUCCU
rnacentral:rRNA from 1 species